AAUGGCCGCAAGGCUGAUCCAGCCAUGCCGCGUGCAGGAUGAAGGUGCUCUGCAUCGUAAACUGCUUUUAUCUGGGAAUAAACCCCUCUACGUGUAGAGGGCUGAAUGUACCAGAAGAAUAAGGAUCGGCUAACUUCGUGCCAGCAGCCGCGGUAAUACGAAGGAUCCAAGCGUUAUCCGGAUUUAUUGGGUUUAAAGGGUGCGUAGGCGGCUUAUUAAGUCAGUGGUGAAAGCCUGAAGCUCAACUUCAGAAUUGCCAUUGAUACUGAUGAGCUUGAGUAUAGUUGAGGUGGGCGGAAUGUGUCAUGUAGCGGUGAAAUGCUUAGAUAUGACACAGAACACCGAUUGCGAAGGCAGCUCACUAAGCUAUAACUGACGCUGAUGCACGAAAGCGUGGGGAGCAAA
rnacentral:rRNA from 1 species